GAUGAACGCUGGCGGCGUGCUUAACACAUGCAAGUCGAACGAAGCACCUUAAUUUGAUUCUUCGGAUGAAGAUCUUGGUGACUGAGUGGCGGACGGGUGAGUAACGCGUGGGUAACCUGCCUCAUACAGGGGGAUAACAGUUAGAAAUGACUGCUAAUACCGCAUAAGCCCACGACCCGGCAUCGGGUUGAGGGAAAAGGAGCAAUCCGCUUUGAGAUGGCCUCGCGUCCGAUUAGCUAGUUGGUGAGGUAACGGCCCACCAAGGCGACGAUCGGUAGCCGGACUGAGAGGUUGAACGGCCACAUUGGGACUGAGACACGGCCCAG
rnacentral:rRNA from 1 species